GCCUCCUAAAAGGUAACGGAGGCGCUCAAAGGUUCCCUCAGAAUGGUUGGAAAUCAUUCAUAGAGUGUAAAGGCAUAAGGGAGCUUGACUGCGAGACCUACAAGUCGAGCAGGGUCGAAAGACGGACUUAGUGAUCCGGUGGUUCCGCAUGGAAGGGCCAUCGCUCAACGGAUAAAAGCUACCCCGGGGAUAACAGGCUUAUCUCCCCCAAGAGUUCACAUCGACGGGGAGGUUUGGCACCUCGAUGUCGGCUCAUCGCAUCCUGGGGCUGUAGUCGGUCCCAAGGGUUGGGCUGUUCGCCCAUUAAAGCGGUACGCGAGCUGGGUUCAGAACGUCGUGAGACAGUUCGGUCCCUAUCCGUCGUGGGCGUAGGAAAUUUGAGAGGAGCUGUCCUUAGUACGAGAGGACCGGGAUGGACAUACCUCUGGUGUACCAGUUGUCGUGCCAACGGCAUAGCUGGGUAGCUAUGUGUGGACGGGAUAAGUGCUGAAAG
rnacentral:rRNA from 1 species